rnacentral:tRNA from 1 species
GCUCCGUUCGUCUAAUGGUUAGGACACUGGGUUUUCAUCUCAGCAAUAGGAGUUCGAUCCUCCUACGGAGUACCA